CGGCGAGUAGCGCAGCUUGGUAGCGCAACUGGCUUGGGGAUCAGUGGUCGGAGGUUCGAACUUCUCUCGCCGACCA
rnacentral:tRNA from 1 species